CUCCGAUGCAAGGCAAGGAGGCU
rnacentral:snRNA from 1 species